GGACUACUAGGGUAUCUAAUCCUGUUUGCUCCCCACGCUCUCGCGCUUCAGCGUCAGUCUCUGUCCAGGCGGCCGCCUUCGCCACUGGUGUUCCUUCCGAUCUCUACGCAUUUCACCGCUACACCGGAAAUUCCACCGCCCUCUACAGCACUCUAGCAGCACAGUCCCAAACGCAGUCCCUAGGUUGAGCCCAGGAAUUUCACGUCCGGCUUGUACCGCCGCCUACGCGCCCUUUACGCCCAGUAAUUCCGAUUAACGCUCGCACCCUCUGUAUUACCGCGGCUGCUGGCAC
rnacentral:rRNA from 1 species